GACGAACGCUGGCGGCGUGCUUAACACAUGCAAGUCGAACGAUGAACUUGGAGCUUGCUCUGGGGGAUUAGUGGCGAACGGGUGAGUAACACGUGAGUAACCUGCCCUGGACUCUGGGAUAACUUCGAGAAAUCGGAGCUAAUACCGAAUAGGACCUUGCACCGCACGGUGUGGGGUGGAAAGUUUUUCGGUUUGGGAUGGACUCGCGGCCUAUCAGCUUGUUGGUGAGGUAAUGGCUAACCAAGGCGUCGACGGGUAGCCGGGCUGAGAGUGUGACCGGCCACACUGGGACUGAGACACGGCCCAGACUCCUACGGGAGGCAGCAGUGGGGAAUAUUGCACAAUGGGCGCAAGCCUGAUGCAGCAACGCCGCGUGCGGGAUGACGGCCUUCGGGUUGUAAACCGCUUUUAGUAGGGAAGAAGCCUUCGGGUUACGGUACCUGCAUAAAUAGGACCGGCUAACUACGUGCCAGCCGCCGCGGUAAAAC
rnacentral:rRNA from 1 species